rnacentral:rRNA from 1 species
UACGUAGGGGGCAAGCGUUGUCCGGAAUCAUUGGGCGUAAAGAGCGUGUAGGCGGCCUGGUAAGUCCGCUGUGAAAGUCCAGGGCUCAACCCUGGAAUGCCGGUGGAAACUGUCAGGCUCGAGUCCGGAAGAGGCGAGUGGAAUUCCUGGUGUAGCGGUGAAAUGCGCAGAUAUCGGGAAGAACACCGGAGGCGAAGGCGGCUUGCUGGACCUGGUCUGACGCUGAGGCGCGAAAGCGUGGGGAGCGAACAGG